CCCUGUCUCUUGCAUCUCCUGCGUUGCAGGCAGACUCUUUACCAUCUGUAGUAUUUUGUGACUCAUAAACCUUUCCACAGUUACAUACAUAGUCAUGAUCCUCCUUAAAAUUUUUUUAAGUGAGCCUCCUUAAAAAUUUUAUCACUUUUGCACAGUAUCAUCUGGCAGGAUUCCAAUGGAGAAAGGGUGGGAGGGGGAACUAGACAACCACUCUAGAACUUGGAACUUGGUCCACAGGAAAUCCUUGAGGCCUGAUGGAGUCAUGCUGUUCUAGCACAGAGAUAAAAUUUAUCGAUGAAGACAAGCUGACCCCUGCUAAGCAACUUCUUAUAAAGAGGUGCAUGACAAAUGCUAUCUUUAUAAAACAAUUCCACAAUUGCAGUGUGAAAUGACCCUACAGGAACCUGUGUUCUAGCACUGAAGAUCUCCUGUGAGAAGAGCAUUAAGACUAUUGUCUUCAGUUGAUUGAUCAGUGCAUUCAUUCUGCAUCAACAAAUAUCCAUGGAGCAUUUGUCAUGUGCGAAGUGUUGAUUCAAGAACAUGGAAAGUAUAGUCUGUCCUUGAGGAAUUUAUAGUCUUGAAGAAGAGUAAAAGAUGUAUUCAACAACAGUCUGCCUGUCAGAACUGGAUCAUCAUCUGACUCUUGCAUUGUAUCCAUGAGGGAAUGAUGGCAGAAAGGUGAACUGACCUGCCCAGACCACACCCCUGGUGUAGAAUCACCGGGACAAUGACAAGACCACUGGCUCUGGAGGAAGCCACUUACCCACCACUCACUGGUGGACUGGACACAUUACUUAACCCAGUGAGCUGAGCCAGAACUCAGAAGGCUGAUCUGGGUUGAAGGGCUGGUGAGAAGAGGAACACAGACUUCCUCCAGGACUGCUUUCACUCAUGUUUACUGUGUGACCUGGAAGCAGGAAGUGUGAAGUGUACGUACAAGAUAAGGAUGGAAGCAAGCUGAUGCAGCUUCUCCAUGCCUCCCUAGUUUCUCAGGCCCUUGGCUAAAGUUCAGUUGCCAGGGCUCCACAAGGAGUGAAAAACCUGCCAGGUCAAGGACUCCAGAACCACAAACCAUGGCCUUUUACACGCAGGCUACCAUAGUUAGACACUUCCAUAUUCCAUUUCUCAAUGCUCUUAGGGGCCUAGCAUAGGCCAGCCUUCUAUACCUGCUAAACUUCAGCUCCCUCACCUAUGACAUUUAAUAGUAUAUCUAUUCUAAGCCUUAGGCAAGAUGGACUAUGUAAAGUGCCUAGUAUGGUGCCUGACCCACAGAAGGUGCUUGCUAGAUGGCUCUCUUAGUUGAGGAAUUGACAGUAGGAUUCAAGUCUCCUGACAGAAGGAUUCAAGUCUCUCUCUCAGCCUAAUGCUCAGCCAUUUAAUACACAAAUGGAAACUGCUAUUUAGGAAACUGUUAUUCACUUUGGAAUGAAACAUUAAAGGGAGAGAUAAAACUCAUUAUUUUCAGAAAGCACUACAUGUAUAGAAGUUCUAAGAAAUCUGUUUAAAUUUAUUAUCCCAUGAGUUUAUCAGUGUGAUUGGGUUUAUAAUGAAUUUACCACAAUUAGAUGCUUUGCUUUAAGUUCAAUAACUUAAUAGCCAGUUCAAUAACAUAAUAAAAAGGAAAUAAAUUCCAUUCCAAAAAAAGAAAAAGAGAUGGGAUGGAUAAAUUUAACAGAAUUGCCUAUGACAUUUAUAAAGAAGAUUUAAAGACUUAUGAGCCAUAUGUAAAGAAAACUAUAAAGGUAUAUUAGAAUGUAUAAAACAAGAUGAUCAAAUUGAUAUAUAUAUAUAUUUAUCAUAGGCAAACAAAUUUUACCAAGUAAAGUUUACUAUUUGUUAAAUGUUAAAAUUCUGCACUAACAAGCCAUAAGUUAUGAUGCUGAUCUAGUUCCCAGAAAAUCCUAAAACAAAGUAUAAUAAUUAAAUGAUUAAAGUAAAGAAGUGUGGGACAUAUAGAAAUAAAUUUAAUGUAUCAUAUAACUAUCAUAUUAAGAAAGAUAAUAUUUAUUUAAUAAUUGCCUAAUUCUAUUUCAUAAUUGCCUAAUUAUGCUUUCAUAAUUGCCAGGGUAACUGGCAAACAAACACAAAACAAAAAGUGAUUUAGAUAAGCUCUUAUAACACAUUACAAGAGUAAGCCUCUAGUGGAUUAAAAAGAAUAAAUAUUAGCUUUAAUUCUUAGCAGAGCUAUGGGGAAAAAAAAAUCAAAUAUUAAUGAAAUCUUUAGAGGAAUAGUAUCUUUGAAAAGCUUAGGGCAGUAAAGAAAAUCACAAAGGAAAAAAUAAAUAGCUCAACAACAUCAAGUAAAACAGUGGUUCUAACAUAAAAAACUAACAAAAUUAAAAGAAGAGAAACGUACUUGGAAGUAUCUGUAUUGAUCAUGAUAGAACAGUAGUAUAUAUAAUAGAUAAAGAACUUACUCAAAUUUUCAAAAAUGUUAAAACCUCAAUAGAUAAAUAGUCAAAGUAUAUAAACAUACAAUGCACUUAUGAAGAAAUACAAGUAAAUUGUAUACAUUAAUCACUUCUUAGAAGGAUAUUUAUAAUAGCAAAAUACUGGAAACAAAAAAACAUGCCCAAUAUAAAUAACAAUUCAAUAGACUGUUAUACAGCCAUUAGAAUUGUAAUUAUGAAAACUUUAAAAAUGUUAUUAUUUAAUGGUGGAAGGAGUCAAAUAAUAAUUCUGCUUUAUACUACAUAUCAAAAAAGGCAACAGUGAAAAUCACUAUUGACAAAGAAUAGUGGAAUCAUGGGUAAUAUUUUUUCUGUAAAUUGAGAAGGAAUAAGGAAGCCCCUAUACUAAUAGGUGAACAAUACUAGUUAUUAAACAUUACAGAUUCUAACAUUGGUUGUGCUUUUCAACAUACAGAUGAAAGCACAGUUAGAAGAAACCAGCAGUAUUAGAGUCAGAUGCUAAGUUAUUAGGCUUCCUAGAGUAAGGGUCUUUUACUGCUCCAGAACCUACAGAGAGGACUCAUGUUUCCCAAAGGCACUAGAGAACGCAGGAACACACCUUGAGAAUCGAGUGUGCGAUUCUGCCGCACCUUCGUGGAGCCUUGUUCUGUGUUGUUGAUACUGUUUGUCUUCCUUCCUGAUGCUGUAUUUUUACCAUAAAACUUGCUUUAAAACUUU